UACGUAGGGAGCAAGCGUUGUCCGGAAUCAUUGGGCGUAAAGCGCGCGUAGGCGGCCCCGUAAGUCCGCUGUGAAAGUCAAAGGCUCAACCUUUGAAAGCCGGUGGAUACUGUGGGGCUAGAGUCCGGAAGAGGCGAGUGGAAUUCCUGGUGUAGCGGUGGAAUGCGCAGAUAUCAGGAGGAACACCGAUGGCGAAGGCAGAUCUCUGGGCCGUAACUGACGCUGAGGAGCGAAAGCAUGGGGAGCGAACAGG
rnacentral:rRNA from 1 species